CUGGGACCAUUUUGGUCAGAAAAGGCUACCAGUCUCCAUAAAAAGCAUUUACAUUUACAUUUUCGGCAUUUAGGAGACGCCCUUAUCCAGCGUGACUUACAGAAGUGCUUCCACACUGAACGUUUCUCUACUCUAGUUCAAGUAAACAACCGUCCAAGGACACAAAUCUGCUGAAACUCUGUUUCUAUAUAUAACAGAUGUUUGAGCAGCACUUAAGCAGAGACAAUAGCAGUGAGGACAUUUCCAUCCCGGACUGGCAUAACGAGGCGUGGACGCAUGGACGAGGCAACAAAGCCUCAUUAUUAAUCCGUCAGACGAGGUUUAUACCUGCUCCUGACAAUCACUGUCAGUCAGAACAGAAGGGUGGAGCAGCAGGACCCCUGGUGGAGCGCUGGUGGAGCAGCUGUGUUCUGGACGGGGAAACUCUGGCUAUUCAAAGCUCCCGGAGAGGCAGGAAAUUCCUCACGAGCGCUCGAGCAACAGGCCACCGAGAGGUACAACACGAGCCGGCUACAGAAGCCUGAGUCAGCUGUCUCACUGGGUUCAGCGCCGGGGCCGAGCCGGGGUAGUUGAUGGAGAUAAAAUCCUUCAGAGUUUA